AGGGUUGUAAUGUGGAUAACACAUUGCACUCUACCAGUCUUAGACUGUUACUGUGAGAAAAUUAGAGUGUUUCAAGCAGGCUUAUGCAGGAAUACAUUAGCAUGGAAUAACGGAUGUAUCUAGAAUCUUGGUUAAUUCUAGAUU
rnacentral:rRNA from 1 species